AGGGCGGCACUUGAUUUUGUCCAUCAGGAGUUGAUUAAAUCAUUGGAUUGUUGUUGUUUGCUAAUUGCCAAAAAAUUAAUAUU